rnacentral:rRNA from 1 species
UACGUAGGGUGCAAGCGUUAAUCGGAAUUACUGGGCGUAAAGCGUGCGCAGGCGGUGAUGUAAGACAGGUGUGAAAUCCCCGGGCUUAACCUGGGAACUGCAUUUGUGACUGCAUCGCUGGAGUGCGGCAGAGGGGGAUGGAAUUCCGCGCGUAGCAGUGAAAUGCGUAGAUAUCUGGAGGAAUACCGGUGGCGAAGGCGGCAUCCUGGACCGGCAUUGACGCUGAGGAGCGAAAGCUAGGGGAGCAAACGGG